UCGAAAGGUUCAGGUUCUGCAAUUCUUGGGCGGUAUCGGUGGAAACGCCGAUAUGUUUACCUGCCAAAUUCGGGGAAGCCGUUCGUGUGGUAAUCCCGAGCCAAGCCAAACGGAAACGUUUGGAAGGUGUAGAGACUGAAUGGUAGGCACCCUAACGUAGAGUCGAGGGUGAAGAGACAGUCCAGACUACAAAUUCUGCCGC
rnacentral:ncRNA from 1 species